CUGACAGCUCCUGCUCAAACAAAAAGUUACCACAGGCAUAACUGGCUUGUGGCGGCCAAGCGUUCAUAGCCACGUCGCUUUUUGAUCCUUCGAUGUCGGCUCUUUCU